UUUAAUGAUUUUCCAAAAGUUAUUAUCACUUGUAUAAGGCCUAAAGAGUAACAACAAUUUUAUUUUAAGGUUACAUCUUUCACAUAUAUAAAAAAAAAAAGUAAAAUAAUCUAGCCGAUAGAAAUUAACACCGGGAGCCAAUACUUUAAUUUCAUUCAGAAGAGCUGUAAACAACCAGAUAUAAAUGUCAAAACCACGAACAUCACGACUACAAACAUUUAACACACAAAACAGAACACCUAAUUUCAAUUGACUUAAUUAUAAACCCUAUUCUACAACAUCAAGAUCUAGUUCCAGCUACCACCGUCUCCUCCAUCACCACCACGAGAGCGGGAUCCACUAUCACCAUAACUACGAUCUCUACCACCACCAUAACCACCUCCUCCACCAUAACCACCGCUGUUACGGCUGUACCCUCCUUCACGUCGACCACCGUAUCCACCGCCACCGCCAUAUCCACCACCACCACCAUAUCCACCGCCUCCACCACGAUUGUAUCCACCCCCACCACCUCCAUAUCCACCACCACCACGGCCACCACCUCCUCCGCCAGAACCACGAGACUGAGCUUCGUUCACAGUGAUGUUACGACCGUCAAGGUUCUGACCGUUCAUUCCUUGGAUCGCGUCUCUCAUGGCCUGCUCCGUAGAGAAAGUCACGAAUCCAAAACCCCUAGACCUUCCAGUCUCACGAUCAUUGAUAAUCUGCAAAAUGAAACGCAAUAAAAAAUCAGAUCUAAGAAAAAACGCAAAAACAAAACCGAAUAGAACCCGAUCGAUCUUCGCCUUUGAUUAAAGGAUGAAGAUGAACGUACCUAUUGGCGUGAGUAAAAAAAGAAUCAUAUAGUAACACAAGUAUCAUAGAUCAAGUAACGGAAAAAAUAUCAGAUCACAGAUCAGAACGGGAUCGACAAAUUCCGAAUCCGUGUCAGAUGCGGUGCCUGCGACAAACAGAC
rnacentral:lncRNA from 1 species